GGCCAGCAGCCGCGGUAAUACGGAGGGUGCAAACGUUGCUCGGAAUCAUUGGGCGUAAAGCGCGUGUAGGCGGCUCGUUAAGUCGAGUGUGAAAGCCCUGGGCUUAACCCAGGAAGUGCGCUCGAAACUGGCGAGCUCGAGUACGGGAGAGGGUAACGGAAUUCCCGGUGUAGAGGUGAAAUUCGUAGAUAUCGGGAGGAACACCAGUGGCGAAGGCGGUUACCUGGACCGAUACUGACGCUGAGACGCGAAAGCGUGGGUAGCAAACAGGAUUAGAUACCCUGGUAGUCCACGCCGUAAACGAUGAGUGCUAGGUGUCGCGGGUAUUGACCCCUGCGGUGCCGAAGUUAACGCAUUAAGCACUCCGCCUGGGGAGUACGGCCGCAAGGCUAAAACUCAAAGGAAUUGACGGGGGCCCGCACA
rnacentral:rRNA from 1 species